GAUGGGGCGCCUGAAGAGUUUGAUCAAACUCUUUUUUCUGUUAGAAGUGACCGUUCCAUUGGACCUGUGGAGAACUUUGCACUUAAUCUGGUUAAAGAUGCCCAAAAACCUCUUCAAUAGACCUCUUUCUUCCCACGAGGUUCAGAUUGCCGCAGGUCCUUGGGAGUGUUUGGCGAGCUAACUUACAGUCACUGCAUGAAGGAGUGCUGCAACGAUGAGAGAUGAUGAUCCAAAGAAAAGCAAGCUGUCUUGGUCCAAGGCCUUUGUUAAAAAAUGGUUCAACAUCAAGAGCAAAGGUCAGGAUAACCAUGUCGAUGAGAUUGCUAGCAAAGGUGUGCCUGAUCUCUUCUUCUUAUUCAA